rnacentral:rRNA from 1 species
GACGGCUGGCGGCAUGCUUUACACAUGCAAGUCGAACGGUAACAGGUCUUCGGAUGCUGACGAGUGGCGAACGGGUGAGUAAUACAUCGGAACGUGCCUGGUAGUGGGGGAUAACUACUCGAAAGAGUAGCUAAUACCGCAUGAGAUCUACGGAUGAAAGCAGGGGACCUUCGGGCCUUGUGCUACCAGAGCGGCUGAUGGCAGAUUAGGUAGUUGGUGGGGUAAAGGCUUACCAAGCCUGCGAUCUGUAGCUGGUCUGAGAGGACGACCAGCCACACUGGGACUGAGACACGGCCCAGACUCCUACGGGAGGCAGCAGUGGGGAAUUUUGGACAAUGGGCGAAAGCCUGAUCCAGCAAUGCCGCGUGCAGGAUGAAGGCCCUCGGGUUGUAAACUGCUUUUGUACGGAACGAAAAGCCUGGGGCCAAUACCCCCGGGUCAUGACGGUACCGUAAGAAUAAGCACCGGCUAACUACGUGCCAGCAGCCGCGGUAAUACGUAGGGUGCAAGCGUUAAUCGGAAUUACUGGGCGUAAAGCGUGCGCAGGCGGUUUUGUAAGACAGUGGUGAAAUCCCCGGGCUCAACCUGGGAACUGCCAUUGUGACUGCAAGGCUAGAGUGCGGCAGAGGGGGAUGGAAUUCCGCGUGUAGCAGUGAAAUGCGUAGAUAUGCGGAGGAACACCGAUGGCGAAGGCAAUCCCCUGGGCCUGCACUGACGCUCAUGCACGAAAGCGUGGGGAGCAAACAGGAUUAGAUACCCUGGUAGUCCACGCCCUAAACGAUGUCAACUGGUUGUUGGGUCUUAACUGACUCAGUAACGAAGCUAACGCGUGAAGUUGACCGCCUGGGGAGUACGGCCGCAAGGUUGAAACUCAAGGAAUUGACGGGGACCCGCACAAGCGGUGGAUGAUGUGGUUUAAUUCGAUGCAACGCGAAAACCUUACCCACCUUUGACAUGGCAGAACUUACCAGAGAUGG